UGGGUAGGGGAGCGUUCUGUAAGCCUGUGAAGGUGGCCUGUGAGGGUUGCUGGAGGUAUCAGAAGUGCGAAUGCUGACAUAAGUAACGAUAAAGCGGGUGAAAAGCCCGCUCGCCGGAAGACCAAGGGUUCCUGUCCAACGUUAAUCGGGGCAGGGUGAGUCGACCCCUAAGGCGAGGCCGAAAGGCGUAGUCGAUGGGAAACGGGUUAAUAUUCCCGUACUUGGUGUUACUGCGAAGGGGGGACGGAGAAGGCUAUGUUGGCCGGGCGACGGUUGUCCCGGUUUAAGCGUGUAGGUGUGUGUUCCAGGUAAAUCCGGUUCACUUUAACACUGAGGCGUGAUGACGAGGCACUACGGUGCUGAAGCAACAAAUGCCCUGCUUCCAGGAAAAGCCUCUAAGCAUCAGGUAACACGAAAUCGUACCCCAAACCGACACAGGUGGUCAGGUAGAGAAUACCAAGGCGCUUGAGAGAACUCGGGUGAAGGAACUAGGCAAAAUGGUGCCGUAACUUCGGGAGAAGGCACGCUGACACGUAGGUGAAGUGAUUUACUCAUGGAGCUGAAGUCAGUCGAAGAUACCAGCUGGCUGCAACUGUUUAUUAAAAACACAGCACUGUGCAAACACGAAAGUGGACGUAUACGGUGUGACGCCUGCCCGGUGCCGGAAGGUUAAUUGAUGGGGUCAGCGCAAGCGAAGCUCCUGAUCGAAGCCCCGGUAAACGGCGGCCGUAACUAUAACGGUCCUAAGGUAGCGAAAUUCCUUGUCGGGUAAGUUCCGACCUGCACGAAUGGCGUAAUGAUGGCCAGGCUGUCUCCACCCGAGACUCAGUGAAAUUGAACUCGCUGUGAAGAUGCAGUGUACCCGCGGCAAGACGGAAAGACCCCGUGAACCUUUACUAUAGCUUGACACUGAACAUUGAGCCUUGAUGUGUAGGAUAGGUGGGAGGCUUUGAAGUGUGGACGCCAGUCUGCAUGGAGCCGACCUUGAAAUACCACCCUUUAAUGUUUGAUGUUCUAACGUGGACCCGUAAUCCGGGUUGCGGACAGUGUCUGGUGGGUAGUUUGACUGGGGCGGUCUCCUCCUAAAGAGUAACGGAGGAGCACGAAGGUUGGCUAAUCCUGGUCGGACAUCAGGAGGUUAGUGCAAUGGCAUAAGCCAGCUUGACUGCGAGCGUGACGGCGCGAGCAGGUGCGAAAGCAGGUCAUAGUGAUCCGGUGGUUCUGAAUGGAAGGGCCAUCGCUCAACGGAUAAAAGGUACUCCGGGGAUAACAGGCUGAUACCGCCCAAGAGUUCAUAUCGACGGCGGUGUUUGGCACCUCGAUGUCGGCUCAUCACAUCCUGGGGCUGAAGUAGGUCCCAAGGGUAUGGCUGUUCGCCAUUUAAAGUGGUACGCGAGCUGGGUUUAGAACGUCGUGAGACAGUUCGGUCCCUAUCUGCCGUGGGCGCUGGAGAACUGAGGGGGGCUGCUCCUAGUACGAGAGGACCGGAGUGGACGCAUCACUGGUGUUCGGGUUGUCAUGCCAAUGGCACUGCCCGGUAGCUAAAUGCGGAAGAGAUAAGUGCUGAAAGCAUCUAAGCACGAAACUUGCCCCGAGAUGAGUUCU
rnacentral:rRNA from 1 species